GGGGCUUUACCUCAGUAGAAGGGUCAAUGUAGCUUUGCCAGCGGAAUUUCCCGUGAAAAGAAGGAAAACGGUAGACGUUCGUUGACGAAUAUCAUCUGGUGUCAUGUUCACACGCGCGCACACACGCUGCAUAUGCAUACCGACAAGACGAUAGCGACUAGCGUGAGGAUAGGAAGAAAAAGGUGCGCUGCGUCCACAGGCAACAGUCUCUUUUCUCUCCUACUCUUUUUUACGGGGAAUCUCAUCUACUUUUUUCCUUUUAAUUGAUCUCACUUACACCCUCAAAAAAAAAAAUGAUCCAGACGUCUGGAUUGCUGCCCGCUGCUGUAUUCAUUACAAGAAUGAAUCGAAACCGUGCCACGGCAUUUUGAUAUUUUCUCUUAUAAAGUAUUCAGGCUGAAAUGGUUUCUAUUGACUUGCAUGAGAUGAUGAGAAGGAGAUCUGGAGACCAUUCAAGACAACCAAAAUGAGAGGAACCAUUCUGAUGAACACGGACAAGUCUGCUGGUUUAAUACAGCUGGCCUGUGGACUUAACUGAAUAUUGAUGUAUACACUUAUCUCGUUUUGUCCUCAAGUACUCCUAUUUGCGUCGAUUGCAACUUAAAAGGGAGGUUUCUUCUGAUUCAAGUUUACUAGUCUCAAGAGAAAGAAAACUUAUCUGUGGAUUAU
rnacentral:lncRNA from 1 species